rnacentral:rRNA from 1 species
AGCGAACGCUGGCGGCAGGCCUAACACAUGCAAGUCGAACGAGCUCUUCGGAGCUAGUGGCGGACGGGUGAGUAACACGUGGGAACGUGCCCUUAGGUACGGAAUAACGCAGAGAAAUUUGCGCUAAUACCGUAUGUGCCCUUCGGGGGAAAGAUUUAUCGCCUUUGGAGCGGCCCGCGUCUGAUUAGCUAGUUGGUGAGGUAAUGGCUCACCAAGGCUACGAUCAGUAGCUGGUCUGAGAGGAUGACCAGCCACACUGGGACUGAGACACGGCCCAGACUCCUACGGGAGGCAGCAGUGGGGAAUCUUGCGCAAUGGGCGAAAGCCUGACGCAGCCAUGCCGCGUGAAUGAUGAAGGUCUUAGGAUUGUAAAAUUCUUUCACCCACGACGAUGAUGACGGUAGUGGGAGAAGAAGCCCCGGCUAACUUCGUGCCAGCCGCCGCAGUAA